GAGUUCACUCGUGAGCACGCAGCGGGCGUCGCUUCACGACGCGAAAAGGCUUAGCUUGUCACCGGAGGGGUUGUUAGCACUUUAAUAAAAAGUGCACAGAAAAAAAAAAAGACAGCUUGGCCGCUAAGCGCACGUUUUUAAGGGCGAGUCCAUAUACAACGAACUACUGAUAUAACGACCACUUUUCGCGACACUUUCGAAUUCGUUAUAAACGGGUUUGACUUAAUUUAUAACUUCUCAAAAUUACAUCGUAUGUCUCCCCUGUGCACUUUCUAAACGUUCAGGUUUCCAGCACAACAAAAGUUAUCGAGAUUGACGGUGCCAAAGCUGAGAAAAGCUUGUCAGAAGAUUGCAAGGUUACGAAAAAAUGAAACUAACGAAAUAGCAAAAAACAAAACUCUGUCCGUCACUGGUGUGACAUGAAAUGUGGUUACGGCUAAAACAAUGAUCUAGGAUGCAUGAAAAGGGGCGAAAGUAUGCAUCAGUAGUGGCAAAAUGCAAAAAAUCACAUUUUCAAAAAAUUGAUCUCUUAUGCAAUUUUUGGUUCCAAAAAGUAGCUUCUGUCCAUAAAGUCUCAAUGGCGGCCUCAUGGUGUCGCCAGGUGGUGCCAGCAACAUGACAGUGAAUAACUACUGCUACUUAAGAAGUAAUUCAUCACACUUGUGAAAACGGUUGUGGCGUAUAAGAUGCGACAUAAUUAUAGCGCAAAAAUAGAAAGUAAAAUAACUCUGAGAAGAGAAGAAGAAACACAGUGAACAGGACGAGUAAGGGUGAGCAGGAGUGAUGUGAUGGCGAGGAGAAUGGAAAGGAGGAUGGGAGAGGACAAAGCAAUGCAUAGGUGAUUAUAAUUUAGUACAGCGAUGAGAGAAGGUGAGAGGGCCUUGUACAAUAUGGUGGUAUAGCAAGGGGUGGGAAAGGACAGUGAGCUGGAGUGACCCGAGGGCGAGGAGGAAGGAAAUGAGAAGGGGAGGUAUUGCGUAGCCUUGUAUAGUAUUGUAUGCAAGGUGUGGGAAAGGA